UAAUGAGGAGCGUCGAACAUUAUUAGCGGUUUUCAUCAAGGUCGCCCGUAUGACCCGAGCCGCGAAAGGGUAUCGACGCCGAAACGGAUAACUUUCGGGCAAAGUUUUCUCGUUGGGUGCAGCGGCUAAUACCCUGCAACUGUCAUUCGUAAGAGUGGAGCACA
rnacentral:ncRNA from 2 species